AUGGCCUGGGCCUCUCUCCUUCUCUUUCUAUGCACAGUGUCUGUGACUCAGGCUGGGCUGACUCAGCCGUCCUCAGUGUCUAAAGGGCUGACAGAGACAAUCAAAAUCACCUGCAUUGGAGACAGCAAUAAUGUAGGUUAUGAGGGUGCAGGAUGGGUGCAGCAGCGUGAGAGUCAGGCACCCCAAACUCUUAUAUACAGGAAUAAUAACCGGCUCCCAGGAAUCUCAGAGAGAUUCUCUGGCUCCAGGUCUGGCAAUGUGGCCACCCUGACCAUUUCUGAUGUCCAAGUGGAAGAUGAGGCUGACUAUUACUGUACAGCCUGGGACAAAGGCAUCAAUGUUUGCACAAUGCUUGAAGCCAGUGGGGAAGAUGAAUUCUUCUCAAUUGUGCUUUAG